UACGUAGGUGGCAAGCGUUGUCCGGAUUUAUUGGGUUUAAAGGGUGCGCAGGCGGCCCUGUAAGUCAGUGCUGAAAUAUCCCGGCUUAACCGGGAGGGUGGCAUUGAUACUGCGGGGCUAGAGUACAGAUGAGGUAGGCGGAAUUGACGGUGUAGCGGUGAAAUGCUUAGAUAUCGUCAAGAACACCUAUAGCGAAGGCAGCUUACUAGGCUGUAACUGACGCUGAGGCACGAAAGCCAGGGGAGCAAACAGG
rnacentral:rRNA from 1 species